rnacentral:rRNA from 1 species
GAAGCGGGAAAAGCUCAAAUUUGAAAUCUGGCAGCUCUUGAACUGUCCGAGUUGUAAUCUAGAGAAGUGUUACCUGUGCUGGACCGUGUACAAGUCUCCUGGAAUGGAGCAUCACAGAGGGUGAGAAUCCCGUCUUUGACACGGACUGCCUGCACGUUAUGGUGCGCUCUCAAAGAGUCGAGUUGUUUGGGAAUGCAGCUCAAAAUGGGUGGUAAAUGCCAUCUAAAGCUAAAUAUUGGCGAGAGACCGAUAGCGAACAAGUACCGUGAGGGAAAGAUGAAAAGAACUUUGGAAAGAGAGUUAAACAGUACGUGAAAUUGCUGAAAGGGAAACGCUUGAAGUCAGUCGCGUCGGCUGGAAAUCAACCUGCUUUUGCUUGGUGUACUUUCUGGUUGAUGGGUCAGCAUCAAUUUUGACCGUUGGAUAAAGUCUUUGGGAAUGUGGCAUCUUAGGAUGUGUUAUAGCCCAUUGUCGCAUACAGCGGUUGGGAUUGAGGAACUCAGCACGCCCGCAAGGGACGGGUUUCGACCACGUUUUCGUGCUUAGGAUGCUGGCAUAAUGGCUUUAAUCGACCCGUCUUGAAACACGGACCAAGGAGUCUAACAUGCCUGCGAGUGUUUGGGUGGAAAACCCAUGCGCGCAAUGAAAGUGAAAGUUGAGAUCCCCUCUCAGGGGAGCAUUGACGCCCGGACCAGACCUUCUGUGACGGAUCCGCGGUAGAGCAUGUAUGUUGGGACCCGAAAGAUGGUGAACUAUGCCUGAAUAGGGUGAAGCCAGAGGAAACUCUGGUGGAGGCUCGUAGCGAUUCUGACGUGCAAAUCGAUCGUCA